rnacentral:lncRNA from 1 species
CUGCACUCAUUACGACAAGUGAAACCGCAAGGUGUAAAAAUAGUUAUUCAUUAAGAUCAGACUUGCCAAGUGGUGGAGCAGAACCAAGAUAGUUUUUGGGAUCUGCAAAGGCUUUCUGACACUCCUCGAUCCACUAAAAAUUCUUUGGUUGCUUCAGAACUUUGAAAAAAGAUAGGCAUCAUUCAGCCAAUCUUGAGAUAAAUUGGUGCAAAGCGGCGAUCCUUCUUGUGAGGUGUUGCACCUCUUUGAUCAUCCUUAGGGGAGCCAUCUCCUGCAGAGCCCUGAUCUUCUUCG